rnacentral:rRNA from 1 species
AUUGAACGCUGGCGGAAUGCUUUACACAUGCAAGUCGAACGGCAGCACGGACUUCGGUCUGGUGGCGAGUGGCGAACGGGUGAGUAAUGUAUCGGAACGUGCCCAGUCGUGGGGGAUAACGUAGUGAAAAUUACGCUAAUACCGCAUACGAUCUAUGGAUGAAAGCGGGGGAUCGCAAGACCUCGCGCGAUUGGAGCGGCCGAUAUCAGAUUAGGUAGUUGGUGGGGUAAAGGCCCACCAAGCCAACGGUCUGUAGCUGGUCUGAGAGGACGACAAGCCACACUUGAGCUAGGACACGGUCCAGACUCCUACGGGAGGCAGCAGUGGGGAAUUUUGGACAAUGGGCGAAAGCCUGAUCCAGCCAUUCCGCGUGCAGGAUGACGGCCCUCGGGUUGUAAACUGCUUUUGUACAGAACGAAAAGGUUUCUACUAAUACUAGGAGCUCAUGACGGUACUGUAAGAAUAAACACCGGCUAACUACGUGCCAGCCGCCGCGGUAA